UUAAAAAUUAAGUAGGGUGAUUUUUUUAUGUAUUUAUUUUUUUUUUUACAUGGUAUUUUUUUAUAUUUAUUUUUAUUUUGUUUUUUUAGGUUCAGUUCUGUAUCCAGCGAUCGUCUCCACUCUUGUAUUGUUACUAUUAGUACUAAUGUGUGUUCUGCUGUUUGUUAUCAGGACUCAGACGAAUCACUGUAAGCCGAAAGUUGGGUUAAUAGAUGAAAACAACACAGUUGCGAUGAUUCAGCCUCCGACUGAAGAAGGAAAUGAGGCACCAAACACAACAGAAGAGAGCAUUUAUGCAAAUGUUGAAAGGUUGAGAGAGGCAGGCGUUGUUGACCCUAAAGUAGUUGCUGAGCCAAGUAGCACCAACUUGCCAAGCGCUGAGCCAGUGGGUGCAAGAGGAAGCAAAAACUCUGAGAAC
ensembl:lncRNA